GACGAACGCUGGCGGCGUGCCUAAUACAUGCAAGUCGAACGCUGAAGGAGGAGCUUGCUUCUCUGGAUGAGUUGCGAACGGGUGAGUAACGCGUAGGUAACCUGCCUGGUAGUGGGGGAUAACUACUGGAAACGAUAGCUAAUACCGCAUAAUAGUAGAUGUCGCAUGACAUUUGCUUAAAAGUUGCAAUUGCAUCACUACCAGAUGGACCUGCGGUGUAUUAGCUAGUUGGUGAGGUAACGGCUCACGAUGGCAAGGAUACAUAGCCGACCUGAGAGGGCGGGUGGCCGGACUGGGAGGGAGACACGGCCCAGACGGCUAGGGGAGGCGGCAGGAGGGAUACGGGGGGAAGGGGUGGGAGACUGAGCGAGAUAGGCCGAGGGAGGAAGGAGGAAUGUCGGGUCGGAAAGGUCGGUUGUAGGGUAGGAAAGCGCGUGAGCGUGGAAAGUUGACUGAGUGACGGUAACUGACAAAGAAGGGACGGCUAACUACGUG
rnacentral:rRNA from 1 species